rnacentral:rRNA from 1 species
CCUACGGGUGGCAGCAGUGAGGAAUAUUGGUCAAUGGGCGAGAGCCUGAACCAGCAAAGUCGCGUGAAGGAUGAAGGAUCUAUGGUUUGUAAACUUCUUUUAUAUGGGAAUAAAGUGCGGUAUGUGUUCCUUUUUGUAUGUACCAUAUGAAUAAGCAUCGCCUAACUACGUGCCAGCAGCCGCGGUAAUACGGAGGAUGCGAGCGUUAUACGGAUUUAAUGGGUUUAACGGGUGCGUAGGUGGUUUAUUAAGUCAGCGGUGAAAGUUUGUGGCUCAACCAUAAAAUUGCCGUUGAAACUGGUAGACUUGAGUAUAUUAGAGGUAGGUGGAAUGCGUGGGGUAGCGGUGAAAUGCGUAGAUAUCACGAAGAACUCCGAUUGCGAAGGCAGCUUGCUAGACUAUAACUGACGCUGAAGCACGAAAGCGUGGGGAGCAAACAGGAUUAGAUACCCGAGUAGUC